GACGAACGCUGGCGGCGUGCUUAACACAUGCAAGUCGAACGGAAAGGCCCUGCUUUUGUGGGGUGCUCGAGUGGCGAACGGGUGAGUAACACGUGAGUAACCUGCCCUUGACUUUGGGAUAACUUCAGGAAACUGGGGCUAAUACCGGAUAGGAGCUCCUGCUGCAUGGUGGGGGUUGGAAAGUUUCGGCGGUUGGGGAUGGACUCGCGGCUUAUCAGCUUGUUGGUGGGGUAGUGGCUUACCAAGGCAUUGACGGGUAGCCGGCCUGGGAGGGUGACCGGCCACAUUGGAACUAAGAUACGGCCCAGACUCCUACGGGAGGCAACAGUGGGGAAUAUUGCAUAAUGGGCGGAAGCCUGAUGCAGCAACGCCGCGGGCGGGAUGACGGCCUUCGGGUUGUAAACCGCUUUCGCCUGUGACGAAGCGUGAGUGACGGUAAUGGGUAAAGAAGCACCGGCUAACUACGUG
rnacentral:rRNA from 1 species